AGUAAGAUGACUGAUAAUAGGUGAUAGAUUGUAGAUUUAUUUAUAAAAUUAAUAUUUUUUUUACUA
rnacentral:tRNA from 1 species